UCCAGACUCCUACGGGAGGCAGCAGUGGGGGAUAUUGCACAAUGGGGGAAACCCUGAUGCAGCGACGCCGCGUGAGUGAAGAAGUAUUUCGGUAUGUAAAGCUCUAUCAGCAGGGAAGAAAAAAGACGGUACCUGACUAAGAAGCCCCGGCUAACUACGUGCCAGCAGCCGCGGUAAUACGUAGGGGGCAAGCGUUAUCCGGAUUUACUGGGUGUAAAGGGAGCGUAGACGGCAAUACAAGUCGGAAGUGAAAUACCCGGGCUCAACCUGGGAACUGCUUUGGAAACUGUGUGGCUGGAGUGCUGGAGAGGUAAGCGGAAUUCCUAGUGUAGCGGUGAAAUGCGUAGAUAUUAGGAGGAACACCAGUGGCGAAGGCGGCUUACUGGACAGUAACUGACGUUGAGGCUCGAAAGCGUGGGGAGCAAACAGGAUUAGAUACCCCUGUA
rnacentral:rRNA from 1 species